UUUAAAUGUUUGCUGGUAACCAAUUUCUCACUCAAAAUAAUGAUAUAGAAGACUACGCUUUACUGAUAAGAGUAUCGCCAGGCAAGCCUUAUACAAUAUAGAAAUAUGAAUUAAAAGGGAAAAGUCCAAAGAUUCGAGUGAAAUGGUAUUACCGAACUAUUUUAAGACGGUUGGCCCUCUAAACAUUACCAGGUUGAAUCCAAACCAAACAGAAAGUUCAUGUAUGGAACAUGACCAUUAUAUUAAGGUUUAUUGUUAUUGUAGAAAUUAGACAUCAUAUGUUAAAAAUAAUAAAUUAUUAUGUUUAUAUAUGUAUGUAUGUAUUUGCUCUACAAAUGUUCAUGGAAUAUAUGGUACUGAUAUU